rnacentral:tRNA from 1 species
GGUGGGUUGCCAGAGCGGACGAAUGGGGUCGUCUCGAAAACGACUAGGGCGCAAGCCCUCGCAGGUUCGAAUCCUGCACCCACCGCCA